UAUUCACCAAAAGGUAGGUACAAUAUUGGACUGAAAACAAAAGGCAAUUAUAUUAGUUUAAAUUAAAACUAAUACAAGAAACAGGUUGUUGACACAAUAUUGCAGUAUAUAUGACAUAUAGUGAUAAACAAAGUGAAUAAAAACAAAAUUAUUGUUAGAAUUGUUACAGCAGUAAUGGAGAAAAUCUUGCGUCCCCAGGCAGAACCAUGAGUUACUUAUUAGUCAGAUCAUUAGUUUCAUAAAUAGUGGCAGAUCUCUGAACUUCUUUGCUCUACUACACCAUUGAUUGGCAUAUAAUGAAUUUCGUGACUAAGAAAUAGAAAUUCCGGCAAGCACAUAUGCAGAUCUGGAAAUGGGUUUUGUCUUGACGUUUCGCGAACUUUGUUAGUAACAGAGGCUGAGAAGAUUUUUCAAUUGAUGGCUUCAUGCAUCUUUGGAACCGGAGCCACCAGCAGAUUGAACCGCAAAUUCAAGCCAUUAAUUUUGAAGUUAUAAGAGCUGCAAACAUUCUGGAAAUGGUGAAGGUUUCUUUUCCAUUUUUACAAAACAAAUAACUCAUGAACUAUUUUCUGGCAAGAUUUAUUCAUCAUUAAGUACAGACACAAUGGGUAUAACCAACCUGGCUUUCAUAUAUAAGAUAAUAUAACUCCGUACACAAUGGGUAUACGAACAUUCAGUAUUUCUGAAUGCACUACUACAGCAAAUUUUGCACAGGGAAUGAACCUGCUAAUGAUUAAUAGGCUGCAGUCAUAUAUUUGCAGUAAAUACUUCUAAUCAGUUUCCCUUCAGCACCGUCACUUCAAAGCACAGGUCAUCCUCCACCAAGUGUCAACUACCACAUUAAUCGCUUUCACCUAUCCAAAGCCACAAUUCCGGACCCUAAUAUAAUGGCUGUGUCAACUGAUACAUUGCACUGCAGACCACCUUUCUUAAUUACUCCCUCCGUCCCAAAUUAUUAGCCGUUUUGGCUUUUCUAAAUUUAUAGAUUUUACUAUGCACCUAGACAUAAUAGAUAUGUAGAUGCAUAGAAAAAAUUAUGAAUCUAGAAAAGCUAAAAUGACUAAUAAUUUAGGACGGAGGGAGUACUGACUUAACUACAUGAGUUCUGUGGCAGUCGUUGUAAGCUUUACAUGCAUGAUUCUGCCAGUGUUUUUGCCAAAAGGCUGAUGGUUUUUUCUUUAUAAUUAUAUUGAAUAGCCGAUGCCAUUUAGGCCCUGAGCUAGUGAGGCAAUUCUUGAGAGUUACUCCCCUCGUCCCAUGAAGAGCGCAAUUCUGUGUUUGAAAAAAAAUCCCAUAAAGAGUGCAAUCCUAUGAAUUGGAUCUCAAAUACCUGCCUAAUUAAGUGGUCAGAUUUGAUUUGCAUGCCAAAGCUAACUGCACAUGGUCAACAAAUGAGGGCAAGAGAGUCUUUUCACGCCACCGCUAAUCUGUCUAGAAAAGACUAGAAUUGCAUUCUUCAUGGGACGGAGGGAGUAUUUAUCAAGUGGCUGAUGCGUUUUCUUAGAAAUGCUUGUUAGAUAUUAUUGGUUCCUAGUAUGUUUUCCCUCUUGGGGAGACCACCAAAUAAAUAAAUCUAGAAAACCCUUGGGCACUUGAUAAGAAAUUGUGGAGAAGAACAAUAACCCUUAACCAUUUGAAAAGAAUAUUCAAACAUAAAGUUUUAAUAUCAUUACAGCUGAUUAUACAUGAAAUCUUGCAGGAACCAGUAGGCAAAACAUCCGUUAUUUCUAUUGGAGAGAUGCAGCACGCACAAUAUUCAUGUUUCUACUGGAGACAUGACACGUACUAGUAUACCACAAAAAUAAAGCAGAUAAUGUCAGUUAGGAUGUAAGUUCCACUUGCUAUGGGUCACUGGGCCGACUUGAACUUGCUAAAAUGAACUAAAACGGCAUGCCGUGUAUAUCAUAUUUUUUAGGAAAAAAAAAGAAAGACAUUCUGUUAUUUGUUUGAAACUUGUAUCUCACCAGUUCUUUUUUUUUCGAACAAUGUAUCCCACCAGUUCUCAUAUCUGGCUACAAUUCUGCAGUUUCAUUUAUCAGUUACUAGGGCACAAUCAAGUUACCAUCAAAUACAAAUAAUGCGAUAGUAACAUGAAAAAUUGUUUUGAUACUAGUCUCUUAUUAACAUUGUGCAUGCUCUGUCCAUAUAUAUAUAUAUAGGCAUUCAAGCCUAUAAAAUUUGUACAUAAAUGUUAGCAUUUCUGAUAUUUCACUUGCAACCGUUACCAGGACAUGCCCGUGCAUGCGUGAUUUAUGGGGCUUUAAUUAGGGACAUAUCAGUCUUUUACAUGCAAGCCUAAUCUGUCUUGAAAAUCUUAUAUAUAGAGGGAGUACACUAAAGGAUUUUCUUAGAAACAUGGAAAGUACAAAACAACCAAUUCUAUGCUCCUAUAAAUUUUCUAGAAGAACAGAUGCUCUGACCUACCGAGCUAUCACACGACCCACCAAAUCUUAAACAAGAGCAGUUUUUGCUUUUGAAAUGACAUGAACCAUAUCCAACAAUCAUGUUGAGCUAUUGGAAUAGGACACGUCAGGAAUGAGAAAACUACGAGUUUGCUGCACUUUAGCAGGCAGAUCCACAGAGUUCACACUUGUGGAAACUUCCUGCCUUCGAGGAUUUGCCGAUGUGGAGAUGGAUUAGUGUAUCUCCAGAAUUGCAGAGGACUCUCAAGUUCUUAAUGUCAGCACUAUCGUCAAUCUUGGAGGAUUCGUCUAAUAUCCAGAGACAAUUUCUCACCAAAAAUAGGGUUAAUAGAAUAAGAAACAUUGAAAACAAGUAAUAUGCUAGCAUAGAGGAGGCUUGAUCUGGGGCAUGGGGUCUAGUCCAACAAAGGGACCAUUCCAAGCUAUAGCUUCCAAGUAGCGCAGAUAGGAUGUACUGGAACAAAUUCUUUGAGAGGUACCAAAAAAUCAAGCAGUCAUCAGAGCAUUCAAAAAUGAAUUGAGGUUCUUUUCAGCUACCAUAUCACAAAUCAGUAAACCCAGAUCGGGUACAAAGAAGAAAGAAAUGAAGAUGCAGUAAACUGAAACAAAAGGUAGAGUCAUGCUUCAGAUUGCAGUUCAGAGUUCAGACCAAGGCCAAAAUGGAGUUCAGAUUCAGAGUCUGGAUGAAUACCUGGAGGCGGAGAUGUGCAACGCCCAGCCUGUUCCUGCGGCGAGACGACGAGCAGAGCAGCCAUCCCACCGCGGCGGCGCCGCCUCACCGAAGUGUAUUGUGUGGGUGGGUGGCGUGGCGCUCCCUCGCCGUCUCAGGCCAGCCGGCGCUGCUGCGGCAGAGGAGCCAGGGCCUCGAGCGUCCCGGGCGCUUGGCCGGAGACAGAAGCUGGGGCGAGAGUCUGAGGGAGGCGAAACCAGAUGCUUGGCAGCGGGGCUCGCGGAGGUCGGCGGCGGCCGAGCAACCUCGCUGGGGGCCCUGUCUCCGGCCCAGGAUAUUUGC
rnacentral:lncRNA from 1 species